rnacentral:rRNA from 1 species
GAAUAUUGGGCAAUGGAGGAAACUCUGACCCAGCGACGCCGCGUGCGGGAUGAAGGCCUUCGGGUUGUAAACCGCUUUCAGUAGGGAAGAAGCGAAAGUGACGGUACCUACAACAGAAGUACCGGCUAACUAUGUGCCAGCAGCCGCGGUAAUACAUAGGGUGCAAGCGUUGUCCGGAAUUAUUGGGCGUAAAGAGCUCGUAGGUCGUUUGUUACGUCGGAUGUGAAAACCUGAGGCUCAACCUCAGGCCUGCAUUCGAUACGGGCAAACUAGAGUUUGGUAGGGGAGACUGGAAUUCCUGGUGUAGCGGUGGAAUGCGCAGAUAUCAGGAGGAACACCAAUGGCGAAGGCAGGUCUCUGGGCCAAUACUGACACUGAGGAGCGAAAGUCUGGGGAGCGAACAGG